rnacentral:rRNA from 1 species
GACGUAGGGUGCGAGCGUUGUCCGGAUUUAUUGGGCGUAAAGAGCUCGUAGGCGGCCCGUCGCGUCGACCGUGAAAACCCGCGGCUUAACUGCGGGCUUGCGGUUGAUACGGGCGGGCUAGAGUUCGGUAGGGGAGACUGGAAUUCCUGGUGUAGCGGUGAAAUGCGCAGAUAUCAGGAGGAACACCGGUGGCGAAGGCGGGUCUCUGGGCCGAUACUGACGCUGAGGAGCGAAAGCGUGGGGAGCGAACAGG